rnacentral:lncRNA from 1 species
CGAAUAAACUAGAUGGCAAAUGAAUGAGUGGAGUGUACAAACAGGUAAGACCAAUGGGAGUCAUAAAACAUGGAAAACCAGUCAUUACACAGCAUCACAAACCACGGAAAACCAGUCAUUACACGGCAUAACACUGAGCCUGAGGGUACCAGGCUUCCUGGCAAAUAUGCCAGCGUUCAUUAGUGACCCAGACAGCUAUGCAGGCGCACAUAGUGUUCUUGGGUGAGUACCCUUUCAUAAAGCAGUAAAGACAACAACAGAACUGUUUGGGACAGAGGUCUCUGGGUGCUCAUGGAAAGAGUGCACUGAACAGGCAAAAGCUGCCUUCUGACUACUUGACACUAUGGCUUUGACCUGGCUUCUCCUGAACACUAGAGAAGUUGUUUCCGUGAGCUUGGAUUUGAAGGGAGCUAUCUGCUUCAUUAGAUGAAUACAUCACAUGGAAGGAAGGGGAUUUUUCCUUUCUUUAUAAUUUUAUAAAGGACCUUUAUAAUUUAUAAAUCUUUAUAAUUUUGUGAGUGUUUUACAAUGAACAUAUGUACUUUCAUGAUAAGGAAAAACAAUAGCAAAGUGAAUCAAUGCAAAGAUUUUCUUUCUAUGGAAGAGUUGACAGAGGAACAUCUUUGUAAGCACAUUGAGAAUGUGCUAUUAGAACAUGUUUCUUUCUCCAUAUGGGCCCUGUGAGGCCAUGUAGAAAAAUCCAGCAAUAAAAGGCAGAUGUAAGCAUGCCUUCUUUAAGAUGCAUUCAUCUUGCUUCCUGGUUUUCACCAGCAGCCUGCACCAAAGAGAAGUCUCUUGGCUUAUUCUCAGAGGAGGUCUACUAUGAAGCAAGUUUGGAGUCAAGAAGUAAUCCUGUUGGCAUGAAGAAUCUAAUCCCCCAAGUCUCUUUUCUUUCUCAGCCCUGCUGGCAGUAAUCCCUCUUCUCUCCUUGUAGGAAGGCUGGAGAAAGACCUUUCCACAGAGACUGGGUUUUCUCUCAUGGGGAAUCCCAGCAUCUCAAAGAGACCGAAGGCUAGUUCUCCCUUCAGGUCUGUUGAAUACAUAGAUUGAUGGAUUGAUAGAGAGAGAAGGGGAAGUGGUCAAAUCCUCUUGUAAACAAGUUAUUGGCAGAUCUCCGGACAAACACAUGAACGAUACCUGAGUUCUCAGGGAGACCAUAACAAUGAAAUGCUUUGAGCAGGAGGUAUGUGCUUGUCUAGGAUUCCUUAUGAAAAGCAGACUUAGAAACUAGGGAUUCACGGCUCAUGGCUCCCUGGAAAAUGUCAUGGAAGUUAUGUAACUAUCUAAGUAUAAAAUGGGUAUGUUUCAUGACCAAAUGCCUCUCGUUUUGUGCAAGAAAUGUAGCUCUAUAUUAUAUUGCACUAUUUCAUAUGUUAAUUUGGGCCACAGGGAGUCCUGAGGUGACAGGGAAGGACUCAGGGUAUCAAAGCUGGGGCCCCCACUGCUGGGCUGUGCCUUGUGAUUGCUUUUACCCUCACAAUUAUUUGUUAAGCUUGAUAUACAGAGACACUGCAGAUGCAUGGCAGUCCCUUGACAAGCCAACCCUUUGUGCCACCUCAAGUCAUCAAUGAGUAACUUAGCAUGGUGCUUAUAUUAAAUUCUCACAAAAUAAACAUUAUAAAAGAGGUUGAUCCCCCAAAUCAAAACAUAACCCAAUAUUAUCUUUAUAAAAUUAAAGAGACUUUCCAAAUAUUAUGGUCUGGGCAUUUCCAAUAACAGAUGUGGUAAAGGUAAAUGUCUCCAUUGAGCAUUUCAUUCCACUUUCUACAUAAAUGUCCAUUUAACCAGGUCUAUUUAUAGUGGUGCCUAAAGGUCUGAGAAAAUGCUGAUUUAUUCAUGCAACAUACAUGAAUUUAGAUAAAUGAAAUACAUUUAAGAGAUACAUUUAAUUUCAUCUGAUCAAUUGUUAUAAGGUUAGUUUUAAGCUUUUAAUUGAAAUAUUAACUUAUUAAUAAAAGUUUCUUUUUCUUCAUUCAAAAUAAUUAACACUUAAGCUAAUAAAAAAUGACACUCUGGAACUCAGAUCUGAGAGAAGUGAUAAUAAGGUUGCAGUUGGCCAGUGUCUCCUGUGUGCAGGGAGUAGGAGCACAGAAGAGGUAGAAAAUGUUCCUCUGCUCCUUCCUUGGCCCCAUGUUUCCAAAAGCUGGGCCCCAUUGCAGCUCUAGAGAUGAUGCACCAGGAUGUUCUUCCAGGUGUGAAACACCAAAGGAGGCCAAGGAAUGCUGGAAGGAGAGGAAUCUCAGAAGGUGGCACAUCUGAGUCACAGGUAGCCGGUCAUGGCAGCGACUGGGGCCGGGCCUGUCUGUAUACGUGAAGCUGUGGGACCUCAAGGCAGCUCUGGGCCAAGCAGGCUGUGGUGCCCUGGGGAAGUUGGCCCUUUUUCCACUGUGCCCUGAGACUCCCAGCCAGGCCCUUGGUGUGGCCUAUGGCAGGAUCUGCCAGGCAUCUUUGGACACUGUCGGCCCUGGGGGUGGCUCAGCCCUUCAGUGCGGGCACUUGCUCUGCACAGUUUCCCCGAGGGCUUGCUGCAUCCACAUGCUGCUACAGCUGUGGUUUCCUGUAGGGCUUAUGUAGGCUGGAUUGCAACUCAGCACCGAAUUACAGUCUACAGCCUGAAAGGAGCCUGGGAGAGUUAGGAUGAGGUCUUGCAAAGAUGUGUUCAUUUUCUUGUUUUCAUCCCAUUUUCAGAUUUUAAAACCUCUGGAAGGCUGGAUGCAGUGGCUCAUGCCUGCAAUCCUACUGCUUUGGGAGGUCAAGGUGGGAAGAUUGCUUGAGGCCAGGAGUUUCAGACCAGCCUGGACAACAUAGUGAGAUCCUGUCUCCACCAAAAAAAAAAAAAAAAAAAAAAUAGCUGGGUGUGGUGUUGUUCACCUGUAGUUCCAGCUACUCGGGAGGCUGAGGCAGGAGGGUCACUUGAGCCCAGGAGUUCAAAAUUGUGCUGAGUCAUGAUCUGCACUCCAGCCUGGACAACAGAACAAGACCAUGUCUCAAAAACACACAAAAAAGGAAAAUAAAAGCAAAAACAAAACUACACAAGGAAGACAAUGACAGUAUAUGUAGAGCAAACUGAAAACCUUUGUAACAAACAACGCACAGGAAAUGGGCAGUUUGAGUGGGCUGGGUGUCAAUCAUGGCUCUCCUCUUUUCAUCAUCAACAAAAAUAGAUUCACAAAAUUCCCAUCCCGCUGUGUUAGCUGACAGCCCAGAGCACACAGCUGGGUAAUUUGUGAUGGUCUUCAAGCCAUCAGCUUGAAUUAGCCAAGUUCUUUCAUAAGUCUUAUAUUAAUUUAAGAUUUUUAGAAGACUAAACAGGAUCUGGAUUUGUUGACAAGUAAGAAAUGCAGCAAAAUCCUGAAAGCAUAACAUGUGGGGUCCUGUUUUGUUUCAAUGAAUGUUUCCCCUCUUGCUUUUCUAUCUUAUACAUUUAAUAUGAUAAUUUCCAAUCCCGUCAGAGUAUUCUGAGAUAACAUCAGUCCAGCUGUAUACUAAUUUCCUGUUCCAGUGGCUGUCAGCUUACAUAGAACAAAGAAUACUGAAGGUAGAACUGAUUUUAGUCUAUAACUGUCCUGGGCUGUAUUAUAAGCCAUUAUGUUCAUGUUCACUCUCUCAUGACCACUAGGCUGGCACAGAGUAGGAUCUCAUGUAUUUCUGUUGAAUGGAUGAAUGAAUGAACACAACUGAAGGUCCCCGUGGCUUUGGAGGACACAGAUAAAUAUUCUCAAGGCCUCUAUCUUGCCACCAAUUCUUAGCCUUCACUGUCGAUUUUUGUGGAUACUCAAAUAUAUGAUCAUGCCCAUAAAUCAGGUAUCAACUUGGUUGGAUUAAGGAGAACCUAAAGAAGUGGUAAAGCCUUACUUCUGGUAUGUCUGUGAGUGAGUUUCCAGAGGAGAUGGGCCUGUGAGUCUGGGAACUAAAUGGGGAAGCUCCUUCCUCCAUGCUAGCAGACAUCAUUCAAUCAGCUGGAGGCCUGGAUCCAACAAAGAAGCAGAGAAAAGGCAAAUUCCCCUCUCUCUCUCCUGGAGCUGGAACACUCUUCUUCCCCUGUCUUUGGACAUCAGAACUCCACGCUCUCCAGCCUUUGGACUCCAGGACUUGGGCCAGCAUCCCCAUGUCCCCACCAUAUUUUCAGGCCUUUGGCCUUGAACUGAGAAUUAUACCAUUGGCUUCCCUGGUUCUGAGGCUUUCUGAGACUUGCACUGAGUCACACCACUGGCAUCCCUAGGUCUCCAGCUUUCAGAUGGCUUGUUGGAAGACUUCUCAGCCUCUGUAAUUGCAUGAGCCAAUUCCCUUAGUAAGCCCCUCUCUAUCUAUCUAUCUAUCUAUCUAUCUAUCUAUCUAUCUAUCUAUCAUCUAUCUAUCUAUCUAUCAUCUAUCUAUCUAUCAUCUAUCUAUCUAAUGAUCUAUCAUCUAUCUAUUUAUCAAUCAUCUGUCUAUCAUCUAUCUCUCAUCUGUCUAUCAUCUAUCACCUAUCUAUCUAUUUAUUACCUAUCUAUUUUAUAUCUAUCUGUUGAGAGACACAGCAUGUGUGUGUAUAUAUAUAUAUGUAUAUGUGUGUGUGUAUAUCUAUAUAUCCAUAUAUAUAUCCAUAUAUAUCCAUAUAUAUAUCUAUAUAUAUGUCCAUAUAUAUCUAUAUAUAUAUCCAUAUCUAUCUAUC